rnacentral:rRNA from 1 species
GGGUUGUGAGGUUAAGCGACUAAGCGUACACGGUGGAUGCCUAGGCAGUCAGAGGCGAUGAAGGGCGUGCUAAUCUGCGAAAAGCGUCGGUAAGCUGAUAUGAAGCGUAAUAACCGACGAUACCCGAAUGGGGAAACCCAGUGCAAUUCGUUGCACUAUUGCAUGGUGAAUACAUAGCCAUGCAAGGCGAACCGGGGGAACUGAAACAUCUAAGUACCCCGAGGAAAAGAAAUCAACCGAGAUUCCCCCAGUAGCGGCGAGCGAACGGGGAAGAGCCCAGAGUCUGAAUCAGUUGGUGUGUUAGUGGAAGCGUCUGGAAAGUCGCACGGUACAGGGUGAUAGUCCCGUACACAAAAACACACUGGCUGUGAACUCGAUGAGUAGGGCGGGACACGUGACAUCCUGUCUGAAUAUGGGGGGACCAUCCUCCAAGGCUAAAUACUCCUGACUGACCGAUAGUGAACCAGUACCGUGAGGGAAAGGCGAAAAGAACCCCGGCGAGGGGAGUGAAAUAGAACCUGAAACCGUGUACGUACAAGCAGUGGGAGCACCUUCGUGGUGUGACUGCGUACCUUUUGUAUAAUGGGUCAGCGACUUAUAUUUUGUAGCAAGGUUAACCGAAUAGGGGAGCCGUAGGGAAACCGAGUCUUAACUGGGCGUCUAGUUGCAAGGUAUAGACCCGAAACCCGGUGAUCUAGCCAUGGGCAGGUUGAAGGUUGGGUAACACUAACUGGAGGACCGAACCGACUAAUGUUGAAAAAUUAGCGGAUGACUUGUGGCUGGGGGUGAAAGGCCAAUCAAACCGGGAGAUAGCUGGUUCUCCCCGAAAGCUAUUUAGGUAGCGCCUCGUGAACUCAUCUUCGGGGGUAGAGCACUGUUUCGGCUAGGGGUCCAUCCCGGAUUACCAAACCGAUGCAAACUCCGAAUACCGAAGAAUGUUAUCACGGGAGACACACGGCGGGUGCUAACGUCCGUCGUGAAGAGGGAAACAACCCAGACCGCCAGCUAAGGUCCCAAAGUCAUGGUUAAGUGGGAAACGAUGUGGGAAGGCAUAGACAGCCAGGAUGUUGGCUUAGAAGCAGCCAUCAUUUAAAGAAAGCGUAAUAGCUCACUGGUCGAGUCGGCCUGCGCGGAAGAUGUAACGGGGCUAAACCAUGCACCGAAGCUGCGGCAGCGACGCUUAGGCGUUGUUGGGUAGGGGAGCGUUCUGUAAGCCGUUGAAGGUGGCCUGUGAGGGCUGCUGGAGGUAUCAGAAGUGCGAAUGCUGACAUAAGUAACGAUAAUGCGGGUGAAAAACCCGCACGCCGGAAGACCAAGGGUUCCUGUCCAACGUUAAUCGGGGCAGGGUGAGUCGACCCCUAAGGCGAGGCUGAAAAGCGUAGUCGAUGGGAAACAGGUUAAUAUUCCUGUACUGGGUGUGACUGCGAAGGGGGGACGGAGAAGGCUAGGCUAGCCGGGCGACGGUUGUCCCGGUUUAAGCAUGUAGGCGGAGCGACUUGGUAAAUCCGGUUGCUUAUCAACGCUGAGGUGUGAUGACGAGCCACUACGGUGGUGAAGUAGUUGAUGCCAAGCUUCCAGGAAAAGCCUCUAAGCAUCAGGUGACAUUCAAUCGUACCCCAAACCGACACAGGUGGUCAGGUAGAGAAUACUCAGGCGCUUGAGAGAACUCGGGUGAAGGAACUAGGCAAAAUGGUGCCGUAACUUCGGGAGAAGGCACGCUGGCAUUAGGUAAAGAGACUUGCUCUCGGCGCCGAAGCCAGUCGCAGAUACCAGCUGGCUGCAACUGUUUAAUAAAAACACAGCACUGUGCAAACACGAAAGUGGACGUAUACGGUGUGACGCCUGCCCGGUGCUGGAAGGUUAAUUGAUGGGGUCAGCCGCAAGGCGAAGCUCUUGAUCGAAGCCCCAGUAAACGGCGGCCGUAACUAUAACGGUCCUAAGGUAGCGAAAUUCCUUGUCGGGUAAGUUCCGACCUGCACGAAUGGCGUAAUGAUGGCCAGGCUGUCUCCACCCGAGACUCAGUGAAAUUGAACUCGCUGUGAAGAUGCAGUGUACCCGCGGCAAGACGGAAAGACCCCGUGAACCUUUACUAUAGCUUGACACUGAAUAUUGAGCCUUGAUGUGUAGGAUAGGUGGGAGGCAUCGAAGCGUGGACGCCAGUCUACGUGGAGCCAACCUUGAAAUACCACCCUUUAAUGUUUGAUGUUCUAACUCGGCCCCAUAAUCUGGGGUGAGGACAGUGUCUGGUGGGUAGUUUGACUGGGGCGGUCUCCUCCCAAAGAGUAACGGAGGAGCACGAAGGUUAGCUAAUCACGGUCGGACAUCGUGAGGUUAGUGCAAAGGCAUAAGCUAGCUUGACUGCGAGAGUGACGGCUCGAGCAGGUACGAAAGUAGGUCUUAGUGAUCCGGUGGUUCUGAAUGGAAGGGCCAUCGCUCAACGGAUAAAAGGUACUCCGGGGAUAACAGGCUGAUACCGCCCAAGAGUUCAUAUCGACGGCGGUGUUUGGCACCUCGAUGUCGGCUCAUCACAUCCUGGGGCUGAAGUAGGUCCCAAGGGUAUGGCUGUUCGCCAUUUAAAGUGGUACGCGAGCUGGGUUUAGAACGUCGUGAGACAGUUCGGUCCCUAUCUGCCGUGGGCGUUGGAAGAUUGAGAGGGGCUGCUCCUAGUACGAGAGGACCGGAGUGGACGCAUCACUGGUGUUCGGGUUGUCAUGCCAAUGGCAUUGCCCGGUAGCUAAAUGCGGAAAAGAUAAGCGCUGAAAGCAUCUAAGCGCGAAACUUGCCUCGAGAUGAGUCUUCCCUGGGGCUUUAAGCCCCCUGAAGGAACGUUAAAGACUAUGACGUUGAUAGGCUGGGUGUGUAAGUGCAGCGAUGCAUUGAGCUAACCAGUACUAAUGAUCCGUGAGGCUUAACCUUACAACACCGAAGGUGUUU